rnacentral:sRNA from 1 species
AGGGUUUUGGAAUGGUGGCUGUGGGUUUGGUUCCCUUGGCACCACAUCUGGGUCAUGCAUGUGCUUGUGACCAGCUUUUACUCCACGUGCAGGCAGUACUCUUAAAGAGUGAUUUUUUUUUUUUUUUUGUGAGACAGAGUCUUGCUCUGUCACCCAGGCUGGAGUACAGUGGUGCGAUCUGGGCUCACUGCAACCUCCACCUCCCGGGUUCAAGCGAUUCUCCUGCCUUAGCUUCCCGAGUAGCUGGGAUUACAGGCGCCUGCUACCAUUCCCAGCUAAGGAGUGAUUUUCUCUGAGAGGGACAUUUGCUGUGAAAGUGGGACCAGGGAGAUUGGAUCUGCUCUCACCAGGAUGUGCAUGAGGCACAGAAGCAUUGAAGCCAAGCUGAGGCAGUUUUCGAGCGCUUUAAUUGAUUGUCUGAUAAACCCACUUCAAGAACAGAUGGAAGAAUGGAAGAAAGUGGCCAACCAGCUGGAUAAAGACCACGCAAAAGAAUAUAAGAAAGCCCGCCAAGAGAUAAAAAAGAAGUCCUCGGAUACGCUGAAACUGCAGAAGAAAGCAAAAAAAG